rnacentral:rRNA from 1 species
GAGUUUGAUCAUGGCUCAGAACAAACGCUGGCGGCGUGUCUUAAGCAUGCAAGUCGAGCGGCAAGGGCAGCAAUGCCCCUAGAGCGGCGGACUGGUGAGUAACGCGUGGGUGAUCUACCUUGGGCAUGGGGAUAGCCAUUAGAAAUAGUGGGUAAUACCGGAUACGUUCGUCACCGUGAGGGUGACGAGGAAAGGCGCUACGGCGCCGGCCUGGAGAUGAGCUUGCGUCCGAUUAGCUAGUUGGUGAGGUAAAGGCCCACCAAGGCGAUGAUCGGUAGCCGGCCUGAGAGGGUGUACGGCCACACUGGGACUGAGAUACGGCCCAGACUCCUACGGGAGGCAGCAGCUAAGAAUAUUCCGCAAUGGACGAAAGUCUGACGGAGCGACGCCGCGUGGAUGAUGAAGGCCGAAAGGUUGUAAAGUCCUUUUGCUGGGGAAGAAUAAGCGUGGGAGGGAAUGCCCGCGUGAUGACAUGAACCGGCGAAUAAGCCCCGGCUAACUACGUGCCAGCAGCCGCGG